rnacentral:rRNA from 1 species
AUUAGGUAGUAACAACCAUUUGAGUCUGGGAUUUCUGAAUGGGGAAACCCACGUGCAUAAGCACGUAUCCUUACCUGAAUACAUAGGGUAAGGAGGCGAACCGGGGGAACUGAAACAUCUAAGUACCCUGAGGAAAAGAAAUCAACCGAGAUUCCGAAAGUAGCGGCGAGCGAAAUUGGACUAGCCCUUAAGCUUUACACGCGUUAGACGAACGGUCUGGAAAGUCCGACGAUACAGGGUGAUAGUCCCGUAGUUG